CUGCUGCCUUCCGUAGGAGUCUGGGCCGUAUCUCAGUCCCAAUGUGGCCGGCCAACCUCUCAGUCCGGCUACUGAUCGUCGCCUUGGUGAGCCGUUACCUCACCAACUAGCUAAUCAGACGCGAGGCCAUCUUUCAGCGAUAAAUCUUUGACAUAAAUGCCAUGCGACACCUAUGUGUUAUGCGGUAUUAGCAGUCGUUUCCAACUGUUGUCCCCCUCUGAAAGGCAGGUUCCUCACGCGUUA
rnacentral:rRNA from 1 species